GUACACUCCUACGGGAGGCAGCAGUGGGGAAUUUUGGACAAUGGGCGAAAGCCUGAUCCAGCAAUGCCGCGUGAGUGAAGAAGGCCUUCGGGUUGUAAAGCUCUUUUGUCAGGGAAGAAACGGUGAGAGCUAAUAUCUUUUGCUAAUGACGGUACCUGAAGAAUAAGCACCGGCUAACUACGUGCCAGCAGCCGCGGUAAUACGUAGGGUGCAAGCGUUAAUCGGAAUUACUGGGCGUAAAGCGUGCGCAGGCGGUUUUGUAAGUCUGAUGUGAAAUCCCCGGGCUCAACCUGGGAAUUGCAUUGGAGACUGCAAGGCUAGAAUCUGGCAGAGGGGGGUAGAAUUCCACGUGUAGCAGUGAAAUGCGUAGAUAUGUGGAGGAACACCGAUGGCGAAGGCAGCCCCCUGGGUCAAGAUUGACGCUCAUGCACGAAAGCGUGGGGAGCAAACAGGAUUAGAAACCCCAGUAGUCCCAUGAU
rnacentral:rRNA from 1 species